rnacentral:lncRNA from 1 species
CAGAAACAGAAAGAAAUAGAACGGCCCUUUAAAAAAAGAAGGAUAAAUGUGGCCGUGUGUCACGACUCAAGCCGAAGUUGGCUCACUUGUAUCGGAGGUGUUAUUGUGCUCUGGACCGUGUUACCCUGUGUUUUGGUUUGGUCAGUGUUUUCCGCCCUGUGUUUUUGGGUUGGUCUGUGUUUUGGGUUGGUCUGUGUUUUGGGUUGGUCUGUGUUUUGGGUUGGUCUGUGUUUUGGGUUGGUCAGUGUUUUGGGUUGGUCUGUGUUUUGGGUUGGUCAGUGUUUUGGGUUGGUCUGUGUUUUGGGUUGGUCUGUGUUUUCCGCCCUGUGUUUUGGGUUGGUCAGUGUUUUCCGCCCUGUGUUUUGGGUUGGUCAGUGUUUUCCUCCCUGUGUUUUGGGUUGGUCUGUGAUUUCCGCCCUGUGUUUUGGGUUGGUGAGUAUUUUUCACCCUGUGUUUUGGGUUGGUCUGUGUUUUGGGUUGGUCUGUGUUUUCCGCCCUGUGUUUUGGGUUGGUCUGUGUUUUCCGCCCUGUGUUUUGGGUUGGUCUGUGUUUUCCGCCCUGUGUUUUGGGUUGGUCUGUGUUUUCCGCCCUGUGUUUUGGGUUGGUCUGUGUUUUGGGUUGGUCUGUGUUUUGGGUUGGUCUGUGUUUUGGGUUGGUCUGUGUUUUGGGUCGGUCUGUGAUUUCCGCCCUGUGUUUUGGGUUGGUCUGUGUUUUGGGCCCUGUGUUUUGGGUUGGUCAGUGUUUUCCUCCCUGUGUUUUGGGUUGGUCAGUGUUUUCCUCCCUGUGUUUUGGGUUGGUCAGUGUUUUCCGCCCUGUGUUUUGGGUUGGUCAGUGUUUUCAGCCCUGUGUUUUGGGUUUGUCAGUGUUUUGGGUUGGUCAGUGUUUUGGGUUGGUCUGUGUUUUGGGUUGGUCAGUGUUUUGGGUUGGUCUGUGUUUUGGGUUGGUCAGUGUUUUGGGUUGGUCAGUGUUUUCCGCCCUGUGUUUUGGGUUGGUCUGUGUUUUGGGCAUGCCCAUUUUGUGCCGGAAUAAAGCGCAUUUCUCCGUGAACCCUCUGCUCUCUGCGCCUGAUUCCUACCUUCCCCUCCUAGUCAUCCAUUUCUUUGCCCUGACAUAGUCCCAGUCGGUAUUAAAUAGAACGUUGUGGGCCCUGCCCACCUGUGGGGAAGACAACCCAUUAUUACCUUGUUUAUUGGCUCACAGCAAGAACCUUUUUCAAACAAAAUAUUCUUGUUGUCGGCUUGUUUUAGUCAAUUGCAAAACUGUAUUUUAGAAAAGUACAACAUGUCUGAAGAUGACUUUUCAACGUUGACUGCUCCCGAGUGUUGACACUAAAAAGUAAUCUUGUAGUGCUUACCUCAUGCUGCUUUUCAUGACGGCGCUAACCUUAGCCAUGUGUGUGCUAGCUAGCUAGCUACCAAGCCGAACAUUAAGCUAGCCAAGACCAACAACACAAAGAAACAGACUAUAAAGUGGUGUUAGAAAUGGACUAUAUUAAAC